CUCGUAGGCGGUUGGGUAAGUCGCAUGUUAAAGACCCGGGCUCAACUCGGGGGAUGCGUGCGAUACUGCCCAGCUAGAGGACGGGAGAGGGAAACGGAAUUCCUGGUGUAGCGGUGAAAUGCAUAGAUAUCAGGAAGAACAUCUGUGGCGAAGGCGGUUUCCUAGACCGUUUCUGACGCUGAGGAGCGAAAGCUGGGGGAGCAAACAGGAUUAGAUACCCUGGUAGUCC
rnacentral:rRNA from 1 species